UCCUGAAGGAUGCCUUAAAGUUGAAAU
rnacentral:piRNA from 1 species